GCUCUCACCCAUCCAUUUUCUGGGACACAGGCCUCGAAAAAUUGCAAAUGGUCAGCUAGGAAUGGGAACAAAAUUGCAAUGACCUGCAUUCUAGAAGAGAAUCCACACAAUUCCUAUUCCAAAAGUAGGUAAAGAAUCUAGCACAUGCAAAGGCACAAACCCUGACUCAGAAGGAAGAUGGGCUUCCUCUCCUUCCUCUUCCAACUCACCCCAUCCACCUGAGCGCCUGGGAUCCUACUGCUCCUCUCACUCCCAAGGAAGAAAGCUAAAACAAAUAUUUAAAGCACGGAGAAGUGAAGCCUGGGGAAGCACCCAUCUUGUAACCAUGAGAUGGCCACGAGAGUGCUACUCAUGUAUCAAGUAUGCCGGAACCAAGAUAGGAACUGGGCAAUGAAUACAUUAUGGAGCAAACGCACCAAUUCCAGAUGCUGCCUCAGUCUUCUCUGUUACUUGCCAAAAAUGCAAUGCUGACUAAGAUUCAAAGCUAAACAUCUAGCUCUCUCCACAAGAUACAUAGAAAAUACCCUUUACUAGUAUAUACACUACUCUUUUGCUGCUGUCUUAACUGUGCUUUGCAGGAAUGAGUGCAUUCUGUGACUUCUCUGCCUAGCAAUGUGGCUAAGAAAACACACCAGUUCCUGACCACGAAUGCCCUUCCUGGUGGUGCAGUGGGUUGAAACACAGCACUAUGAAGCUAUCCAAAGCCAAUGAAGCUCAAGUUCAA